UUGACAUUUUUCUCUGAAAUUCGCAUAGCAUCCUGUAGCUAAUUGCACAAAUUUGGCUUCAUGGAACUCAAAUUUCGACAUCGAGAUUACAAAAGUGAAGAACAAGUCCACUCUCUCCAUCGGGUGGCAGCAGUGACUCAUCCUCUCUCACUUCAAUCACCGUCGCGUGACCAGAUAUAACCACUCUUGCUCUUAUUGAUAUAUGUAACUGUCAACAAUCUGUUGGGAAUUCCGCAAAGCAAAUUCAACAGGACAUUCAAGACAACUAUGGAAGCUCUAUCGAGGUCCAUACUCGCGAUCUUUUUUGUGACAACAGAUGAAGAUCAUGAUGAUGAUGACUUUGAGAAUGAAGUUCCUUCUUGCCGCAAUAAUGUUGAGGAAUCAAAUGACGAUGACCGCGAUGAUGAUGAUGAUGAUGAAGAAGAAGAAGAGAAGAUGACAGAUGACGAUGAAUAUGACGAUGAUGACCUCUAAAAGAUGGUUUGUAAAUUAGCCUACUCAAAAUUUAUAUCUUUUUUAAGAAUCAAGCAAUAAAUAUUAUUUUAUUUUAUCAAAAUGAACGAGUUAAAGUGGAUAUUUAUUUUUAGCAGUAAAAAGAAGUAUAACCGA